CGUAGACCUUGUCUGACUGUGCUCAUGGCCAGGCAGGGGGGACAGUGUAUGCAAGAGUAAUGUGGAGUUUGUGCUAACUCUAGCCAGCUUAAUUAGUGACUGGAUAAAUUGCACAACUCUCACAUUCUUCUGUUUUUUCCUCCGUGGAAAUAGUACUCAUGCUGGGGAAUGAGUGACAUUGAAUCUCUGCUCUUUUUUUCCCUCUUUUCUAGGAUUACUACAGCAUCCCAUUUCCCACACCCACUACUCCGCUGACUGGGAGGGAUGGUAGCCUGGCCAGCAACCCUUAUUCUGGUGACCUCACAAAGUUUGGCCGUGGGGAUGCCUCCUCCCCAGCCCCGGCCACAACCUUGGCCCAACCCCAACAGAACCAGACGCAGACUCACCAUACCACGCAGCAGACAUUCCUGAACCCGGCGCUGCCUCCUGGCUACAGUUACACCAGCCUGCCAUACUAUACAGGGGUCCCGGGCCUCCCCAGCACCUUCCAGUAUGGGCCUGCUGUGUUCCCUGUGGCUCCUACCUCUUCCAAGCAGCAUGGUGUGAAUGUCAGUGUGAAUGCAUCGGCCACCCCUUUCCAACAGCCGAGUGGAUAUGGGUCUCAUGGAUACAACACUGGAAGAAAAUAUCCACCCCCUUACAAGCAUUUCUGGACGGCUGAGAGCUAAUUUGGCCCAAGGCUGGGGGCUGUGUUUUGUGUGUGUGUAUAAAUUUGCACUGAAGUCUUGUUUCAGAAACCAGACCACUGAGGAGAGCCUGCUGAGCUGAGGCCAUGGCCUGCGUGGCUUGGGGAAAUGAGUUGGUGGAUACCUUCUGGGCUUUUGAACUUGCCCCUCCC
rnacentral:sRNA from 1 species